GUGAAUCAUCGAAUCUUUGAACGCACAUUGCGCCCGUCAGUAUUCUGGCGGGCAUGCCUGUUCGAGCGUCAUUACGCCCCUCAAGUCCCCUGUGGACUUGGUGUUGGGGAUCGGCGAGGCUGGUUUUCCAGCACAGCCGUCCCUCAAAUCAAUUGGCGGUCUCGCCGUGGCCCUCCUCUGCGCAGUAGUAAAACACUCGCAACAGGAGCCCGGCGCGGUCCACUGCCGUAAAACCCCCCAACUUUUUAUAGUUGACCUCGAAUCAGGUAGGACUACCCGCUGAACUUAAGCAUAUCAAUAAGCGGAGGA
rnacentral:misc_RNA from 1 species